GCUAAGAACAGAAUUUGUAGAAACUAGGACUGAGUUUGGGAUCAUGCCAAGAAUCUUUCUACACAAGACAAAUGCUCUGCACAGACGCAGCCCCCACAGUGAAGUUAUUCAGAGACUACAGUUGGGUCCCGCGAGUGGCUAGGGCCACAGGGGACCUCACACGUGGCUGCUGAUUCCCACUUUUCCCUGGGAAGGACCCACCUCACCAGUUCGCGCUGCUCAGACCCCUGCUUCUCCCCAUUGCUGGCAGUGACCCUGUGCUCACCAUGUUGCAGCUUCGGAGCUUGCCUGCGCACGCUCCACAGCAUCCAGCGGCAGGACAGAAGAGCACAGCACACAAGACAAUCCAAGGCUGCUCAGACACUAAGCGAAACCACCACCACGGCACCCGGAAAAACCCGCCUUCCCAUCUGACUGGCAGGUCUGCCUAAAGGCUGAUUGGUCACUAAGUCUUGAGUGACUCGAGCACCUCCCUUAGGUUAGAGUGUGCUGAAGGUACACAGAAUAGAGAUUCUCAACCCAAGCUAUAAGUCCUGGGCCGGACCUUUUCCAGAUCUACAGAGAAAUGCCUUGAAAACACAAAUCAGACAUCUGACACUGAGCAUGAUGUUGCUUUGCUACCCAGCACAUGAGACACCUUUUACAACUUCUACAAAACUAACUCCAAAUGGAUUGUACACCUAAAUAUGAAAUGCUAAGAACAGAACUUGUUGAAACUCGGACUUUCUGAGUUUGGAAUCAUGCCAAGAAUCCUCCUACACAUAAGCCAAAGGUUCUGCACAGAUCCAACCCCCACAGUGAAGUUAUUCAAGGCUACCGCUGGGUCCCAAGAGUGGCUAGGACCUCAGGGGACCUCACACGUGGCCGCUGAUUCCCAAUUAUCCCCGGGAAAGACCCUCCUCACCAGCUCGCGCUGCUCAGACCCCUGCUUCUCCCCCUUGUUGGCAGUGACCCUGCGCUCACCAUGUCGCAACUUCGGAGCUUGCCUGAGCAUGCUCCACAGCAUCUAGCGGCAGGACAAAGAGCACAGCACACAAGAUGAUCCAAGGCUGCUCAGAUACUAAGCAAAACCGGCACCAUGGCACCCGGAAAAACCCGCCUUCCGUUCUGACUGGCAGGUCCGCGUAAAGGCUCUGAUUGGCCAGUAUUCUUGAGUGACUCGAGCACCUCCCUUAGAAUAUGCUGAAGGUACACAGAGUAGAGGUUCUCACCCCAAGCUUCAAGUCCAGGGCCGGACCUUUUCCAGAUCUACAGGAGGAAGAAGAAGUGCAUGUUGAGUGCUGAGAGGGGAGCUCGGGCAGUCUCUGGAAGUCUCCAGGCCACUGCCCACAAAGAGGAGGAGCAGGCGACUGACCAGUGGAAGCGGGCUGGGAAGACGAAUGGGUAAACUAUUGGAGGACAGUCACGAGUGCUACUGAGAUACAAAUCUCUGUAGAUAAAGAAUGAGUCUGUCUCUGGACUGGAAGUAUGGACCAGGAAACACUAUGCUGUGUCCCUUCAGCACAUUCUAACCCUAAGGGAAGUGUGCCAUGCACACUUGGCGUGAUGGCGGUAUUUGAGGCGUAAACUUCAAGGAAAGGCAGUCUCCUGCCUCCACAUUGUCGCCUGGCACCCCAAAUUCAGAGGUAGCCCAGAUAUGU